AAACCAACCGGAUUGACCUCAGUAACGGCGAGUGAAGCGGCAAAAGCUCAAAUUUGAAAUCUGCGUAAGCCGAGUUGUAAUUUGAAGAUGGCUACUUUGGUAAUGGCUCUUGUCUAUGUUCCUUGGAACAGGACGUCACAGAGGGUGAGAAUCCCGUGCGAUGAGAUGUCCAUUACCGUGUAAAGUGCUUUCGAAGAGUCGAGUUGUUUGGGAAUGCAGCUCUAAGUGGGUGGUAAAUUCCAUCUAAAGCUAAAUAUUGGCGAGAGACCGAUAGCGAACAAGUACAGUGAUGGAAAGAUGAAAAGAACUUUGAAAAGAGAGUGAAAAAGUACGUGAAAUUGUUGAAAGGGAAGGGCUUGAGAUCAGACUUUGGUAUUUUGUAUGGCUUGCUUUCGGGCGGGUCCUCUGCAGUUUACUGGGCCAGCAUCGGUUUGGGUGGCAGGAUAAUAGCAUAGGAAUGUGGCUCUACUUCGGUGGAGUGUUAUAGCCUUUGUUGAUACUGU
rnacentral:rRNA from 1 species